AUUGAACGCUGGCGGCAGGCCUAACACAUGCAAGUCGAGCGGAUGAGAGGAGCUUGCUUCUCGAUUCAGCGGCGGACGGGUGAGUAAUGCCUAGGAAUCUGCCUGGUAGUGGGGGACAACGUUUCGAAAGGAACGCUAAUACCGCAUACGUCCUACGGGAGAAAGCAGGGGACCUUCGGGCCUUGCGCUAUCAGAUGAGCCUAGGUCGGAUUAGCUAGUUGGUGAGGUAAUGGCUCACCAAGGCGACGAUCCGUAACUGGUCUGAGAGGAUGAUCAGUCACGCUAGAACUGAGACACGGUCCAGACUCCUACGGGAGGCAGCAGUGGGGAAUAUUGGACAAUGGGCGAAAGCCUGAUCCAGCCAUGCCGCGUGUGUGAAGAAGGUCUUCGGAUUGUAAAGCACUUUAAGUUGGGAGGAAGGGUUGUUGAUUAAUACUCUGCAAUUUUGACGUUACCGACAGAAUAAGCACCGGCUAACUCUGUGCCAGCCGCCGCCGUAAGAC
rnacentral:rRNA from 1 species